rnacentral:rRNA from 1 species
UACGUAGGGAGCGAGCGUUGUCCGGAUUUAUUGGGCGUAAAGCGCGCGUAGGCGGUUUGGUAAGCCGAUUGUGAAACCUCCAAGCUCAACUUGGAGCCUGCAUUCGGAACUGCCAUGACUCGAGUCCGGUAGGGGAACACGGAAUUCCAGGUGUAGCGGUGAAAUGCUUAGAUAUCUGGAGGAACACCAGUGGCGAAGGCGGUGUUCUGGGCCGGUACUGACGCUGAUGCGCGAAAGCGUGGGGAGCGAACAGG